AUGGAGUCUGUUUUGGUUUUUGGAGACCAAAAUCAAGGAGCAGUUUUCCUACGUGAAUUUACGUUGAUUCGGAGAGAAAGUCUUCACGAUGAUUUCCUAUCUGAUUUGCUGAAUAACCACAAAACAGAAGACCCGGUUGGUUUUCUGAGGAAAAACAUAUGUAGUAGAAAAAGAUCUAAAUAUUGUCCUUACUGAAGGAAACUCUGCAGAUUGGGUUGAAGUAGUUACCAAAGAAACCACACAGGAAAGUGCUACUAUGAGCUACCACGGCCAUGGGAAGAGGACUCUCAUUCAUUCCCAAGGAAUUCACAAAGACAUGAAAGGAUACUAGAAACCAAA
rnacentral:lncRNA from 1 species